AACCAGUAGAUCGAAAAAAUGAACUGGAUAGAAAUAUGUUCUUGUGGAAGUCACGGGCAUGAAGGUUUUGUUUCACUCAUCAUCUUCUAUUUGUAGGCCUAUUUAGGAAUCAAUUUAUACUGUAGGCCUAGAUCCAUCUUACUUCAUAACAAAUAUUUUUUAUCGGUCGGUGGGAUAUGAUUUUGUGAAAUUACUUCCAUAUGAACAGUGAGAAAUAUCUUAAUUCUCACGUAUACUGCUCUCGACUCCCAUUAGAUUGCAGUAUUUAUCAUUUUUGUUUUAUUACACGAACCCCUUUUAUUUGUUAAAGUUGGGCAAAUCCAUUUUUAGAGUCCUCAUACGCCACUAUAUAUUGUAUGGAAUUAGUUCGAUGGAAAUGAUAAUGUGAUAUUACAACUUAUAUUUGGGAGAAGGCGAGUGUGGCAUGAUGUAUAUCUCAGACUUAACAUGAUUUUUUAGUUUUUUUCCACCACCGAAACAAUAACAUAUCUUCCUACACUUGGUGCUUCAGUUACCUGAUUUAAGUUGUAACUAUUUUAAGAUGUUAUUUAAGAUGUUACCUGAUAUACAAGAUUUUUCAGCUAGGUUGAUAGUUGGUCUUUCUGUCCUCUGAGCUUAUUGAUUCAUCUGAUGGUGUUUUUUGGUCAGACAAGGUGGAGUUCAUGCUUUUAAUUGUACAGUGUAUGGUUCUGUUCAUAUGUUUUGCUCUAAUAGAUUGAUGAAAAUACAUGUCAAGCUAUUUUAUCACAAGAUUCCUACACCGAUAAUUCAAAUGGACCUAACAUAUUGGGAACCUUUUCAUGGACUAUCCUCAUAAUGGCUGUCAAAUUCUUGCUUUCAGAGGAUACCGAGACCAUGUGCAAGAAGGAAUCAACAUUUGUACCAAUGCUGAAAUAUUUUUUGCAAGCCUCAAGCAUGGUUUCUUUCUGAUUGUGAGAAUGAAUUUUACAAAGAGGGUAUUUGAGAAGGUAAUCACAUAACUAUACAUGUUUUCUAAGCAUCUAAGAGGAUUUCGUGUUCAGUUUCGUGCUGCAAUUUUAGAGCUUGAUUCUAGAAGUAAGGGUGCCCUCCUUUGAUAUACCUGGUUUGUGAAGAGGUGAUCGUGUGGCUGAAGAAUGAUGUUAAUGAUUGGAAGUGCUCCAACCAGGAAGCAUUCAGGUGGUGCCUGCGUUGGACACAUUGUUUUUUAGGAUGACACCAUUCAUGUGGAACUUUUCGGUGAGCAGAGUAAGAGCGAGGAAAACUAUGGGUUGAAUUUGUUGUGCUAAAAGGACCGACAUAAUGCAGGUACGUAUUUGGCCCUGUUUUCUCUGAGCAGGAAGAGGACAUUGCGAUCUCAUCCCGCUUCAGUGUGUAUAUACUCGACAGGUAUCACAUCGUUGUCUUCGAUCGACUCAUCUUGAUGCUGUCCCAGCCCCUUCUGUCACCGAUAAUCUUCAGGAUUGGUGGGGAGGUCUCGCCAGUUCAUUCCCAAAGCUAAAUAAUGUGGUUUUGAUUCUCUUGUGAUGCUUGUGUGCUAUAGCCUAUGAAAGCAACGCAAUGCUAGGG